GACGAACGCUGGCGGCGUGCUUAACACAUGCAAGUCGAACGGAAAGGCCCUGCUUUUGUGGGGUGCUCGAGUGGCGAACGGGUGAGUAACACGUGAGUAACCUGCCCUUUACUUUGGGAUAACUUCAGGAAACUGGGGCUAAUACCGGAUAUGAGCUCCUUCUGCAUGGUGUGGGUUGGAAAGUUUCGGCGGUUGGGGAUGGACUCGCGGCUUAUCAGCUUGUUGGUGCGGUAGUGGCUUACCAAGUCUUUGACGGGUAGCCGGCCUGAGAGGGUGACCGGCCACAUUGGGACUGAGAAACGGCCCAGACUCAUACGGGAGGCAGCAGUGGGGAAUAUUGCACAAUGGGCGGAAGCCUGAUGCAGCAACGCCGCGUGCGGGAUGACGGCCUUCGGGUUGUAAACCGCUUUCGCCUGUGACGAAGCGUGAGUGACGGUAAUGGGUAAAGAAGCACCGGCUAACUACGUG
rnacentral:rRNA from 1 species